ACAAAAAGAGAGAAAUCUCCUAAGUUAACGUAGUCAGAUUUCCACCUUAAAGUCCUUAUUCAGAAUAGCGAAGUCUCCCUAAGCCAGCUUUUCUAAAAGUUAAGGAAAACCGACCGGAAAUCUACGAGCAAAGAGCUUAAAAAUAUAGAUGAGUUGGGGUGUCAAGAAGCUCAAAUUCUCUAUCUGCAAAGCUCUAAGAUGCAUCUGGGGGUGUCGGCUCACCUCGUAGAUAUCUUCGUACUUGACAUUCUCCACGAGCUUCCAGAGCAUGAUGGCAGCCUGGUCUCUAGGAGGAAAACAUCAACAUCAACAAGAACAAAGUUAACCAAACCUCGAAAAUGGGUGCCCUUUAAGGCACAGGGUUUCCGAAUUUCAUCAUGAAAUGGGGGAAUGGAGACACAGAGAGGUUCAGCAGCUUGCCCAAGGUCACACAGAAG